rnacentral:rRNA from 1 species
UACGAGUGCCUCAAGCGUUAUCCGGAAUUAUUGGGCGUAAAGGGCUCGUAGGCGGCUUGUCACGUCGGGUGUGAAAGCCCGGGGCUUAACCCCGGGUCUGCAUUCGAUACGGGCUGGCUGGAGUGUGGUAGGGGAGAUCGGAAUUCCUGGUGUAGCGGUGAAAUGCGCAGAUAUCAGGAGGAACACCGGUGGCGAAGGCGGAUCUCUGGGCCAUUACUGACGCUGAGGAGCGAAAGCGUGGGGAGCGAACAGG